UACGUCUGGCCACAGUAUGCCGCGAUGCAUUUAAGACGGCCCUAUGGUUUGAAAACUGUUUUUAUACAGGAAAAAAAACUCCGACGUGUCGAAAAUUGACCGUACUGUAACAAUAAGGAUCGGCUAACUCCAUGCCAGCAGCCGCGGUAAUACGGAGGAUCCGAGCGUUAUCCGGAAUCAUUGGGUUUAAAGGGUCCGUAGGCGGUUUUUUAAGUCAGAGGUGAAAUCCUGCAGCUCAACUGUAGAAUUGCCUUUGAUACUGAAAGACUUGAGUUAUUGUGAAGUGGUUAAAAUGUGUGGUGUAGCGGUGAAAUGCAUAGAUAUCACACAGAAUACCGAUUGCGAAGGCAGAUCACUAACAAUAUACUGACGCUCAGGGACGAAAGCGUGGGUAGCGAACAGGAUUAGAUACCCUGGUAGUCCACGCCGUAAACGAUGGAUACUAGCUGUAUGUCUACUUCCGGUAGAUGUGUGGCUAAUCGAAAGUGAUAACUAUCCCACCUGGGGAGUACGAUCGCACGAAUGAAACUCAAAGGAAUUGACGGAUCCU
rnacentral:rRNA from 1 species